rnacentral:rRNA from 1 species
UGCCUUAGUAACGGCGAGUGAAGCGGCAAAAGCUCAAAUUUGAAAUCGAAGCACCAGGUCGAGUUGUAAUUUGUAGAUUGUAUCUUGAGAGCGGAUUAAAGUCUGUUGGAACACAGCGCCUUAGAGGGUGACAGCCCCGUAAAAUCUAUUCUCAUUGUAAGAUACUUUCGAAGAGUCGAGUUGUUUGGGAAUGCAGCUCUAAGUGGGAGGUAAAUUCCUUCUAAAGCUAAAUAUUGACGAGAGACCGAUAGCGAACAAGUACUGUGAAGGAAAGAUGAAAAGCACUUUGAAAAGAGAGUGAAAAAGUACGUGAAAUUGUUAAAAGGGAAGGGUAUUGAAUCAGACUUGGUGCUGUUGUUCAACACCUGUGUUUCGGCAUAGUGUACUCAGCAGUACUAGGCCAAGGUGGGGUGUUUGGGAGUGAAAAAGAAGUUGGAACGUAACUCUUCGGAGUGUUAUAGCCUACUUUCAUAGCUCCUCAGGCGCCUCAGGACUGCGCUUCGGCAAGGACCUUGGCAUAAUGAUUCUAUACCGCCCGUCUUGAA